rnacentral:sRNA from 1 species
GGGACCAUGAUCAGCUGAGUCUAGUAGCAUCAUGAUUAGUGAGAAGAUAUGAAGAGAAGGCUACUAAAGACUUGGAACGAUACAAUAAUCAAAUGAAGAGAGCCAUUGAACAGGAGUCACAAAUAUCAUUGAAAGAUGGCAGAAAAAAGAUAAAACCCACCAGCGCAUGGAAUUUGGCUCAGAAGCACAAGUUGAAAACCUCAUUAUCUAAUCAACCAAAACUUGAUGAACUCCUUCAGUCCCAAAUUGAAAAAAGGAGUCAAAAUAUUAAAAUGGUACAGAUCCCCUUUUCUAUGAAAAACUUAAAAAUAAAUUUUAAGAAACAAGACAAAGUUGACUUAGAAGAGAAGAAUGAACCUUGCUUGAUCCACAAUCUCAGGUUUCCUGAUGCAUGGCUAAUGACAUCCAAAACAGAGGUAAUGUUAUUAAAUCCAUAUAGAGUAGAAGAAGCCCUGCUAUUUAAAAGACUUCUUGAGAAUCAUAAACUUCCUGCAGAGCCACUGGAAAAGCCAAUUAUGUUAACAGAGAGUCUUUUUAAUGGAUCUCAUUAUUUAGACGUUUUAUAUAAAAUGACAGCAGAUGACCAAAGAUACAGUGGAUCAACUUACCUGUCUGAUCCUCGUCUUACAGCGAAUGGUUUCAAGAUAAAACUGAUACCAG